rnacentral:rRNA from 1 species
CGGGGAAUAUUGCACAAUGGGCGCAAGCCUGAUGCAGCCAUGCCGCGUGUAUGAAGAAGGCCUUCGGGUUGUAAAGUACUUUCAGUCGGGAGGAAGGUGUCAAGGUUAAUAACCUUGGCAAUUGACGUUACCGACAGAAGAAGCACCGGCUAACUCCGUGCCAGCAGCCGCGGUAAUACGGAGGGUGCAAGCGUUAAUCGGAAUUACUGGGCGUAAAGCGCACGCAGGCGGUUGAUUGAGUCAGAUGUGAAAUCCCCGGGCUUAACCCGGGAAUUGCAUCUGGUACUGGUCAGCUAGAGUCUUGUAGAGGGGGGUAGAAUUCCAUGUGUAGCGGUGAAAUGCGUAGAGAUGUGGAGGAAUACCGGUGGCGAAGGCGGCCCCCUGGACAAAGACUGACGCUCAGGUGCGAAAGCGUGGGGAGCAAACAGG